AACGAACGCUGGCGGCAUGCCUAACACAUGCAAGUCGAACGAACCCUUCGGGGUUAGUGGCGCACGGGUGCGUAACGCGUGGGAAUCUGCCCUUGGCUUCGGAAUAACAGUUAGAAAUAACUGCUAAUACCGGAUGAUGUCUUCGGACCAAAGAUUUAUCGGCCAGGGAUGAGCCCGCGUAGGAUUAGGUAGUUGGUGGGGUAAAGGCCUACCAAGCCGACGAUCCUUAGCUGGUCUGAGAGGAUGAUCAGCCACACUGGGACUGAGACACGGCCCAGACUCCUACGGGAGGCAGCAGUGGGGAAUAUUGGACAAUGGGCGCAAGCCUGAUCCAGCAAUGCCGCGUGAGUGAUGAAGGCCUUAGGGUCGUAAAGCUCUUUUACCCGGGAUGAUAAUGACAGUACCGGGAGAAUAAGCUCCGGCUAACUCCGUGCCAGCCGCCGCCGUAA
rnacentral:rRNA from 1 species